ensembl:lncRNA
UUGGCUGGAGGAUUAUUUAUGUGUCUCUGGGGUUAAUGACACUCAUAGUGUGUGUUGUGGCUGUCCACAUAUGGACCAGGGUUAAAGGUGAGAGCACCCACUGAUAUUUUUCACAGUGUAAAGCGGCCAUUUCUAAUAAAUCUGUGGACACUAAUCAAUGUAUUUGUCCUUUCAGGCAACAAAGCAGAGAUGAAUGACAACACUGUGAGUUGGUGAACCAAAAUGAGUUUGUCUGUUGUUCUUCAUACUAAAUUCUGAGUUCUGAGUCUUUGUUCCCAUGUGGAUUUUGAAUCAUGCAUUUGUUGGGUCGGUGGUUUUCACAGGGGCCUAAUGAAGAUGCUGAAGAUGAUGGUCCAACGACUUAUGAAAACACUGGAGACUCUUCUGUUCACUGAUCAACAACGUAUACGUUACGUCUUCUUGUGUAAACAGCUAAAUGAAUGUUCAGCAGAAGGACCCACAGAGUCCACUAACAGAGGAGGAACAGCAGCAGUGACCUUCAUUGUGGACUCAUUUUUGCCUUUUUUAAUUAUUAGUUAGUUAGUUUUCAGUUGCUAUUUGUGAGAUUCGGAAGAAGAUCUGGCAUCUUAUAUGCAUUUUGUGUGUAUGCGUUAGCAGAUUAACCCUGGAGUUCCUCAUGGGUCAAUAUUGGGUCCUCUUCUGUUAAAGCAAAACAAUAUAAUGUGAUAUAAGAAUAAUUCUGUUUGUAUAAUUCUGUGAUUGGUCGUCUCACGUUUAUUCCAAUAUAAUAAUAAUAAUAACAAACAGCAGCAGUUCUUCUUUUUCACUAGCAUAAAUUAAGACACAGGCGCAAACUGAGCAGUUACAAUGAGGAAGCUACAGAUGACAGCAUCCUGAUCACAGGAAGCAGUUUGUUCAUUUCUGUUGGUGACUAACACAGAGACAAGAACAAGAAAAGUCAGGCACGAUGGCUGAGAGCAGCUGGCUUCAGUUUUCUGUAUUUCUCUGCGUCGCUCUUCAGGUUACAGUGACCGCACAGUUCUCACCCAGACUUGUUGUCAGAGAAGGAGAGGAGGUCGCUCUGCCGUGUGGGGUCGGUGAUGGAGGGUGUGGCAGCAUUGACUGGCUCUUCAGUCGUUCCGCUGCAGGAGCCGUGCUGUUAGUUCAACAAGGUCAAAUUCCUCUAGGUGCAGACAGGCUGAGGGUUGCAGCUCACUGCUCUCUGGUUAUAAAGGCGGUCGGAGCUGAGGAUGAUGGGUUCUACACCUGCAGAGGGUACAGAUCGUCCUACACCUCUGACGCUCAUGUCAACCUGUUUGUUAUUAACAUGCGUGAGGAUGAAGACAGUGAGCAGGUGACAUUAUCCUGCUCUGUGCUGAGGUAUCAGUGCCAACACACACUGAAGUGGACAUAUGAGGACGUGGACGAAGAUAAAGUAAAGACAUCAACAGCUAACUGCUUUGCCACUGUGAGAUUUCCUGUUCAUCUGAAGCAGGCUUACAGCGAUGCAUUCAAGUGUGAAGUCACAGAUACGUACACUGAGAAAGUGUCCCUGUUUGCCUUCAGGCCUCAGGCCUCAGGUGAGGAUGCCACACCAACGAUCAACAGAACUGUGCCUGCCAUCCACGAAACUCCGACAACACUGAUGCGUAUGGAGGCUCACAUGUCUCUUCUUACAGCUGCACUGUGA